rnacentral:hammerhead_ribozyme from 1 species
AUACUGUGAGUCCCAAACAGGACGAAACGCGCGUCCUGGAU